AGAUGGCUCAGUGGUUAAGAGCACUUGCUUUUCUUGCAGAGGACAUGGGUUCAGUUCCCAUCCU
rnacentral:tRNA from 1 species